AGGAAAUCCAAUUUUGCAGUGCAUGCAAUCUGGUAACUCCUCUCUCCUGUGUUCUUUGAACUGAAGGAAAACAACAGUGGAAAACCAAAGAUAACUUAAUACAAACAAACAACAACAAACAACAACAACAACAAAAAACAACCCAGUGCUGAAAGAAAAUAGAUGUCCAGGUGGAAGAAUAAGGAGACAGUCCAGGACACAAAGACAACUCUUACCUUCUGUGUGUACCUGUGAAAGUUUGAGAGUCCUUUUUCACCAGUAGUUUAUCUGAAACUGUGAGGAACAGAGCCCUACUUUCAAAAGGAAAGCUGAAUCUUCUGCCUUCAGGCAACUCCAUGUACUGGAUCUACAAGGAAGACAUCAAGAUAUGCAAUGAAAUAUCCAGAGCUGGCAUUGCUGGUCUCUUGUUGGCCACAUUACUGCCUUACCUGAUAAAAAGAGACAACAACCUUGACAAUUGUUGACAAGCCUAGACAGCACGUAGCUCCAAACUGAAGCUUCCAACAAUGUCAUAAAUGCUCCAGGUCACACGGAACAACAAAUACUACAGCAAGCAAUUUUAUUCAAAGGCUACAGCUGUUUAAUCCCUGUUGGUUAAUCCCUGUCUGGCAACUAGCUACAAAAGGUACACAGUACUCAAAUUCUACAGUUACGUGUCCCAUGCGGGACAGAGUUCAAAUAAAAGUUACAUCUUUUCCACAUGCAAAAACAAUCCUGUACUUUCCUGUCCAAGCUAGCUCUGACACAAUAAACAAAGUCUACAGGAUAAACUAACAGGAAAACCAACACAAAAUGUCAUCACCUCCACCAACAAGCAGGGGAACCUCAAAGUUUUAAAGUUACAACACACCUCAAUGCUGAUGCAUGACUAUGUUACCCUUGUCAGAAGAAACAAUAACAGAACACUGUUCAUGUCUAAUUAAGAAUAUAGAGAUAAUGGUUGUUCCCCUUUAGAAUCAAAUUUUCCUUGGGCCAAGCUGCAGGCCUUUCUUUCAGAAAGAUGUUACCCCAGCCUACCCUUUUCCUUUACCUACCUUGUACUCUCAACUCGCCAUUGGUUACUGCCAUCCUGCCAGCUGUCACGAUUAUAUGCUAAGCUUAAUGAUAUUUGAUCCCCCAAAAAUAAAAGCCUGAAUGCCCAGUCUUACACAAAUAAACCACACUUGCGGAUCAGUUUAAAGAUUUUAACUUGCAUCACUUGAAAGAAUUGAAACGGAAUCCUAAAGAUUCAAAAGCUAAUAGAACAAAACACAAUUCCAGAUGAAUUAAUAAAAACCUGAUUCUUAAAAUUUCUUCUCACAGCAGCUGGACCUUUAAUUAAUGAUUUUUUGCAAAUACCAAGCAUAGUAGCCUACUUGCAAUUCUCAUGUUCUUGCUGACAGCUUAAGCUACAAAGGAGUUCAGAAACAGGGAAAAUAUGACUGCCUGUGCUGGAAUCCAGCCAGAAUACAUACAAAACCAACAGUGCCUACUGCAUUAAAGCAGAUACUUUGUAAACACAUCUAGAUUUAUUUUAACCCCAUAAAGCCCUAGUAGAUAACCUGCUAAGAUCUUGAAGUAAACAAAGAAGUGACCAGACUUUUACCACAACUAAGCAGCAUGAAACAUUGAUGAAACUCCUUUUAUUAACAAAAGAAAUUAAGAAGUCUGCUCAUACUUCCUAGUUCCAGCAGGGACACGACAAAAUCAAAUGCUUUAAUGUGGGAUUCAAAAUGAAGGCCAGUCCUAGCCAGGAAAAGGACAAUGUAGUAUGAAGGAAACAAAACUUUGCCCUACAGUUCUAAAGAACAUUUUGUGUUUGUACCUUUUCUCUGUAAGAAAGAACAUUAUCCUUAUGCUGCAAUUAUUUUCAUCACCUACCAUUUAGUGAAAGUAUGAUAAUCCACUUAUUCAAGACCAUUCUUGUCUCUUGAUAAAACAACCACAAUUCACUAUGGAGUGAAUACACUCAGGACCUUGGGCAUUUCACUCUUGCCACCAGCUCUAUCCAGUGGCUGGCCUGGAGACAAUGGCAUCUAAGUGUCACAUAUGAGAUCAUCAAGAAGAAACAACUGAGGUGAGUGCACAUUAAAUGGAUACUGCUGAACAAGUUAUCACUGUUAAAGUUAUCAAUUAAGUGCUUUUGCUAAGAAGCAGGCAUUCUCUACAGGAGCUGCAGUGCUGGGAUUUCAACAGUUACAUGGACAGAGGUCUGCAGCAAGACUUCAGCUUUCUCUUUUACUAUGCUCCA